rnacentral:tRNA from 1 species
GCCUGGGUGGCUCUGUUGGUUAAGCAUCUGAUUUCAGCUCAGGUUGUGAUCUCGUGGUUCGUGAGUUCAAACCCCACAUUGGGCU